UGUUGUAGAGAUUGGAUUUCUCUCAAAACCCACCAAAUGACUCCUCUCACCAUAUUAUGUUGUUCCCCAAGUUGUGGACUCAAUUCUAUAUCAAUUGGUCCAUGAAAUUGGACAAUUCAGGUUACUACGAAGUUCGUUGUGAAAUGCAGGGGUCGGUGUAUUGCAUAGUUUUAGGCAUUGGAUUUCACUCAAAAGUCACCAAAUGACUCCUCCCAUCAUAUUAUGAUGUUCCCCAAGUUUUGAACUCAAUCCGAUAUCGAUUGCUCCACGAAAUUGGACAAUUCAGGUUCGUACGAAGUUUGUUAUGAAAUGGAGUGGUUGGUGUAUUGCAUAGUUGUAGAGAUUGCAUUUCUCUCAAAACACACCAAAUGACUCCUCCCACCGUAUGGUUUGUAUAUUAUCUUGUUCCCCAAGUUUUGGACUAAAUCUGAUAUCGAUUGGUUUAUGAAAUUGGACAAUUUCGGUUCGUACGAAGUUCGUUCUGAAAUGGAGUGGAGGGUGUAUUGCAUAGUUCUAGAGACUGUAUUUCUCUCAAAACCCACGAAAUGACUCCUCCCACCAUAUUAUGAUGUUCCCCAAGUUUUGGACUCAAUCCGAUAUCGAUUGGUCCAUGAAAUUGGACAAUUCAGGUUCGUACGAUGUUCGUUCUGAAAUGGAGUGCUUGGUGUAUUGCAUAGUUUGAGCCAUCGGAAUUUACUCAAAAGUCACCAAAUGACUCCACCCACUAUAUUAUGUUGUUUCCCAAGUUUUGGACUCAAUCCAAGAUCGAUUGGUCCAUGAAAUUGGAAAAUUCAGGUUCAUACGAAGUUCGUUCUAAAAUGGAGUGGUUGGUGUAUUGCAUAGUUUUACACAUUGAAUUUCACUCAAAAGCCACCAAAUGACUCUACCCACCGAAGUAUGUUGUUCCCCAAGUUUUGGACUCAAUCCGAUAUCGAUUAGUCCAUCAAAUUGGACAAUUCACGUUCGAACGAAGUCCAUUCUAAAAUGGGCUGGUUUGUGUAUUUUGAAGUUUUAGCCGUUGGAUUUCACUCAAAAGUCACCAAAUGACUCCUCCCACCAUAUUAUGAUGUUCCCCAAGUUUUGGACUCUAUCUGAUAUUGAUUGGUCCACGAAAUUGAAUAAUUCAGGUUCGUACGAAGUUCGUUACGAAAUGGAGUGGUUGGUGUAUUGCAUAGUUGUAGAGAUUGGAUUUCACUCAAAACCCCUCGAAAUGACUCAUCCCACCGUAUUAUGAUGAUCCCCAUGUUUUGGAGUCAAUCUGAUAUCGAUUGGUCCAUGAAAUUGGACAAUUCAGGUUCGUACGAAGUUCGUUAUGAAAUGGAGUGGUUGGUGUAUUGCAUUGUUGUAGAGAUUGAAUUUCACUCAAAACCCACCAAAUGACUCCUCCCACCAUAUUAUGUUGUUGACCAAGUUGUGGACACAAUUCGAUAUCGAUUGGUCCAUGAAAUUGGACAAUUCAGGUUAGUACGAAGUUCGUUGUGAAAUUUAGUGGUUGGUGUAUUGCAUAGUUCUAGCAAUUGGAUUUCACUCAAAUUUCACCAAAUGACUCCUCCCAUCAUAUUAUGAUGUUCCCCAAGUUUUGAACUCAAUCCGAUAUCGAUCGGUCGACGAAAUUGGACAAUUCAGGUUCGUACGAAGUUUGUUAUGAAAUGGAGUGGUUGGUGUAUUGCAUAGUUGUAGGGAUUGGAUUUCUCUCAAAACACACCAAAUGACUCCUCCCACCGUAUGGUUUGUAUAUUAUCUUGUUCCCCAAGGUUUGGACCAAAUCUGAUACCGAUUGGUUUAUGAAAUUGGACAAUUUGGUUCGUACGAAGUUCGUUCUAAAAUGGAGUGGAGGGUGUAUUGCAUAAUUCUAGAGACUGUAUUUCUCUCAAAACCCACGAAAUGACUCCUCCCACCAUAUUAUGAUGUUCCCCAAGUUUUGGACUCAAUCCGAUAUCGAUUGGUCCAUGAAAUUGGACAAUUCAAGUUCGUACGUAGUUCGUUGUGAAUUGGAGUGGUUGGUGUAUUGCAUAGUGUUAGCCAUUGGAUUUCAUUCAAAAGCCACCAAAUGACUCCUCCCAUCAUGUUAUGAUGUUCCCCAAGUUUUGAACUCAAUCCGAUAUCGAUUGGUCCACGAAAUUGGACAAUUCAGAUUUGUACGAAGUUUGUUAUGAAAUGGAGUGGUUGGUGUAUUGCAUAGUUUUACCCAUUGGAUUUCACUCAAAAGCCACCAAAUGACUCUACCCACCGUAGUAUGAUGUUCCCCACGUUUUGGACUCAAUCCGAUAUUGAUUGGUCCAUGCAAUUGGACAAUUCACGUUCGAACGAAGUUCGUUACGAAAUGGAGUGGUUGGUGUAUUGCAUAGUUGUAGAGAUUGGAUUUCACUCAAGACCCACGAAAUGACUCCUCCCAUCGUAUUAUGACGAUCCCCUGGAGUCAAUCCGAUAUCGAUUGGUCCAUCAAAUUGGACAAUUCAGGUUCGUACGAAGUUCGUUAUGAAAUGGAGUAGUUGGUGUAUUGCACAGUUGUAGAGAUUGGAUUUCACUCAAAACACACCAAAUGACUCCUCCCCACCAUAUUAUGUUGUUCCCCAAGUUGUGGACUCAAUCCGAUAUUGAUUGGUCCAUGAAAUUGGCCAAUUGAGGUUCGUACGUAGUUCGUUGUGAAUUGGAGUGGUUGGUGUAUUGCAUAGUGUUAGCCAUUGGAUUUCAUUCAAAAGCCACCAAAUGACUCCUCCCAUCAUGUUAUGAUGUUCCCCAAGUUUUGAACUCAAUCCGAUAUCGAUUGGUCCACGAAAUUGGACAAUUCAGAUUUGUACGAAGUUUGUUAUGAAAUGGAGUGGUUGGUGUAUUGCAUAGUUUUACCCAUUGGAUUUCACUCAAAAGCCACCAAAUGACUCGACCCACCGAAGUAUUAUGUUCCCCAAGUUUUGGACUCAAUCCGAUAUCGAUUGGUCCAUGAAAUUGGACAAUUCACUUUCGAAUGAAGUCCGUUCUGAACUGGGCUGGUUUGUGUAUUUUGAAGAUUUAGCCAUUGGAUUUCACUCAAAAGUCACCAAAUGACUCCUCCCAUCAUAUUAUGAUGUUCCCCAAGUUUUGGAGUUAAUCCUAUAUCGAUUGGUCCAUGAAAUUGUACAAUUCAGGUUCGUACGAAGUUUGUUAUGAAAAAGGUGGUUGGUGUGUUGCAUAGUUGUAGAGAUUGGAUUUCACUCAAAACCAUCGAAUGACUCCGCCCACCAUAUUAUGAUGUUCCCUAAGUUUUGGACUCAAUUCGAUAUCGAUUGGUCCAUGAAAUUGGACAAUUCAGGCUCAUAAGAACUUCGUUCAAAAAUGGAGUGGUUGGUUUAUUGCAUGAUUUUACCCAUUUGAUUUCACUCAAAAGUCACCAAAUAACUCCACCCACCAUAUUAUGAUGUUCCCCACGUUCUCGACUCAAUCCGAUUUCGAUUGGUUCCUGAAAUUGGACAAUUCAGGUUCGUACGAAGUUUGUUCUGAAAUGGAGUGGUUGGUGUAUUGCAUAGUUUUAGCAGUUGGAUUUCACUCAAAAGUCACCAAGUGACUCCUCCCAUCAUAUUAUGAUGUUACCCAAGUUUUGAACUCAAUCCAAUAUCGAUUGGUCUAUGAAAUUGGACAAUUCUAGUUCGUUCGAAGUUCGUUAUGAAAUGGAGUGGUUGGUGUAUUGCAUAGUUGUAGAGAUUGGAUUUCACUCAAAACCCACCAAAUGACUCCUCCCAUCAUAUUAUGAUGUUUCCUAAGUUUUGGACUCAAUCCGAUAUCGAUUGGUCCAUGAAAUUGGACAAUUCAGGUUCGUACGAACUUCGUUCAGAAAUGGAGUGGUUGGUGUAUUGCGUGGUUUUACCCAUUUGAUUUCAAUCAAAAGUCACCAAAUGACUCCACCCACCAUAUUAUGAUGUUCCCCACGUUCUCGACUCAAUCUGAUAUCGAUUGGUCCCUGAAAUUGGACAAUUCAGGUUCGUACGAAGUUUGUUUUGAAAUGGAGUGGUUGGUGUAUUGCAUAGUUUUAGCCAUUGAAUUUCACUCAAAAGUCACCAAAUGACUCCACCCACGAUAUUAUGAUGUUUCCCAAGUUUUGGACUCAGUCCGAUGUCGAUUGGUCAAUGAAAUUGGGGAAUUCAGUGAUAAGGUCGUAAUUUCACACAUUUGCAUGCCUUCUUUUCUUAGUAAUUUUGUUUAGCUUCUCUUUAUUUUGAGUCUCUUACCUAUGUUUGUGUGUUUUGUAGGUUAAGACGGCAAGGUGAUGACAUUUGAUACAAUUCAUGCAUGUUAAGGGUUGAGUGGCACAAGAGGAAUAUGAGCUUAAAGACAAAGCCAAUUUGAGCCACACUCCUUGUCAGUCCAGUUUCGUAUGUCAUCUUGCAGGCCUCAUUUCAUCAACUUACACCGGUUGGAUGAGGAGGCAUCCUUGAUAGAAGUUGUUCCAAUGGGUGGCUAUUAUAACAUAUCCAAAUUGCAUCCCAAUUGGAUAAAUCUGGAGCCCUCAACACGUCAAAGACUGAAUCAAGUUCACAGAAAUGUCAUGUUGGCUGCCAUCACAUUUAUUGUGGCUACAUCCUUAGAGCCAUGUGCUACACAUGGGCAGCCACACAUGAGAGUCAAAUCAGCUCAGAAGCUCAGAAAUAUGAACAAAAGUCAAGCUUUCCAUAAAGAAACCAUACCAAAGCAUGUAUUUGGCAGCUGGAGCAGUUGGCAAGUAUGUCAGCUGGAGCAGUUGGCAAGUAUGGGCAGCUGGAGCAGUUGGGAGAAGCUAAGAGAGGUGUGCUUCAGCAGCCAAAGGGGGGGACGAAAUUGCACUCUAUAAAUAGAGAGCUGCACACUCAUUCAAGAGAAGGGGUCAGACACACACAUUCACUUCAUCCAUUAUUCUCACACACACACUCAGAUUCACCACAAAGAGAGAAGGGAGCUUGGAGCUUGGAGCUGUCCUGGGAACUUCCUUGUUGCCAUCAUCUAGUUCUUCUCCUCUCUUUAUCCUAUUUAUGUAUUUCUUAUUUUCUGUACUCAUAGUUAUGUCUAACUAAUCCAUUUAGUUAGGGCUUAGGAUGAAGCUCUAGUCAUGAAUAUUCAAUGUUAUGGAUGAUUUUAUAGUUAAUUGAUUUCCUUGCUUUUAUUAUCAAGUUUUUAAUCUCUAGUUUAUUAUGUGCUUGAUGUAUGUUUUCUUGGAGUAGCUAACUAGGAUUUUAUGCAUCUAGCACAGGUUGGGAAGGGGUUUAGAUUCACCAAUUCUACUUUCCUUUCACAAGCAACACAUGAAUGGUCUAAGAAUCAUUCAAGGUUAAUAACCAUAGGUUGACUAGGACAGAUACCAUGUUCUAGGACUUGUGUGAUUAUCAUAUUCUCAAGGAGCUUAAUGACUCUUGUAUGCUUUAUUUUAAGUAGAUACCAUGCUUAGGUUGCAUAUUAGAGAUCACGUGUUGUGUAGAUACCAUGCAUAAUCACAUGCCUUAGGAGAAUCAUGCAUCCUGCACCUAGAUACCAUAGGCUUGUAUGCGAUAAUCUAUUGUUGAUGAAUCUUGAGUCAAUUUCUAUGCAUUCAUAACUUGGAUAGGAAAACUAGUGGUGGAUUCCAAGGCUCUAACACCUCUCAAUCAUUGUUUCACAACUUGUUGAUUGCUGCCAGUGUUCACUUUCGAGCACUUUCAUUUCACUUUCUUCUUUUCCUUUCAACAACAAAACCCCCCAUUUCGAGUGCGUGUCUGAUGCUAGGAUUCUGUCCUAGACCUUGAGUAAUUAGCAAGAGGCAUUGUUGAAUUCAACCUUGCCUUUAGCUAGUUAGUCAGUUUCUUUGUUCUAAGUUUUUCUAGCAUUCUAAGUAAUUUAACUUGGAACCAAGUUAACAUUCUCCGUGGGAUCAACCUCGUAUUUGCAUAAACUAUACUAUAAAUGGUUUGUGCACUUGCGAGAAUUAAAGUUGCUGUUUUUAAUAACUCAUUUUAGUUGUUAAGAACUGGCUCAACAUUCAGGUUCGUACGAAGUUCGUUAUGAAAUGGAGUGGUUGAUGUAUUGCAUAGUUGUAGAGAUUGGAUUUCACUCAAAACCCACCAAAUGACUCCUCCCACCGUGUUAUGAGGUUCCCCAAGUUUUGGACUCAAUCCGAUAUCAAUUGGUCCAUGAAAUUCGAAAAUUCAGGUUCGUACGAAGUGCGUUCUGAAAUGGAGUGGUUGGUGUAUUGUAUAGUUUUAGCCAUUGGAUUUCACUCAAAAGUCACCAAACAACUCUUCCCAUCAUAUUAUGAUGUUCCCCAAGUUUUGGACUGAAUCCGAUAUCGAUUGGUCCAUGAAAUUGGACAAUUCAAGUUCAUACGAAGUUCGUUAUGAAAUAGGGUGGUUAGGGUACUGCAUAGUUGUAGAGAUUGGAUUUCACUCAAAACCCACCAAAUGACUACUCCCACCAUAUUAUGAUGUUCCCCAAGUUUUGGACUCAAUUCGAUAUCGAUUGGUUCAUGAAAUUAGACAAUUCAGGUUCGUACGAAGUUCAUUCUGAAAUGUAGUGGUUGGUGUAUUGCAUAGUUUUACCCAUUGGAUUUCACUCAAAAUUCACCAAAUGACUCCACCCACCAUAUUAUGAUGUUCCCCAAGUUUUGGACUCAAUCCGAUAUCGACUGGUCAACGAAAUUGGGCAAUUCAUGUCCAUACGAAGUUCGUGAUGAAAUGGAGUGGUUAGUGUAUUGCAUAGUUAUAGAGAUUGGAUUUUACUCAAAAUCCACCAAAUGACGCCUCCCACCAUAAUAUGAUGUUCCACAAGUUUUGGACUCAAUUCGAUAUCGAUUGAUCCAUCAAAUUGGACAAUUCAGGUUCGUACGAAGUUCGGUAUGCAAUGGAGUGGUUGGUGUAUUGCACAGUUCUAGAGAUUGGAUUUCACUCAAAACCAACCAAAUGACUCCCCCCACCACAUUAUGAUGUUCCCCAAGUUUUGAACUCAAUCCGAUAUCGAUUGGUCCUUGAAAUUAGACAAUUCAGGUUCAUACGAAGUUCGUUAUGAAAUGGAGUGGAUGGUGUAGUGUAUAGGUUUGGCCAUUGGAUUUCACUGAGAAGUCACCAAACGUCUCCUCCCAUCGUAUUAUGAUGUUCCCCAAGUUUUGGACUCAAUCCGAUAUCGAUUGGUCCAUGAAAUUGGACAAUUCAGGUUCAUACGAAGUUCGUUAUGAAAUGGAGUGGUUGGUGUAUUGCAAAGUUGUAGAGAUUGGAUUUCACUCAAAACUGACCAAAGCACUCCUCCCACCCUAUUAAGAUGAUCCCCAAGUUUUGGACUCAAUUCGUUAACGAUUGCUCCAUGAAAUUGGACAAUUCAAGUUUGUACGAAGUUCAUUCUGAAAUGGAGUGGUUGGUGUAUUGCAUGAUUGUAGAGAUUGGAUUUCACUCAAAACCCACCAAAUGACUCCUCCCACCGUGUUACGAUGUUCCCCAAGUUUUGGACUCAAUUUGAUAUCAAUUGGUCGAUGAAAUUGGAAAAUUCAAGUUCGUACGAAGUUUGUUCUGAAAUGGAGUGGUUGGUGUAUUGCAUAGUUUCAGUCAUUGGAUUUCACUCAAAAGUCACCAAAUGACUCCUCCCAUCAUAUUAUGUUGUUCCCCAAGUUUUGGACUCAAUCCGAUAUCGAUUUGUCCAUGCAAUUGGACAAUUCAGGUUCGUACGAAGGUCGUUAUCAAAUGGUGUGGUUGGUGUAUUGCAUAGUUUUAGCCAUUGAAUUUCACUCAAAAGUCACCAAAUGACUGCUCCCACCAUAUUCUGAUGUUCCCGAAGCUUUGGAAUCAAUCCGAUAUCGAUUGGUUCACGAAAUUGGACAAUUCAGGUUCGUACGAAGUUCCUUCUAAAAUUGAGUGGUUAGUGUAUUAUAUAGUUGUAGGGAUUGGAUUUCACUGAAAACCCACCAAAUAAUUCCUCCGACCAUAUUAUGAUGUUCCCUAAGUUUUGGACUCAAUCCGAUAUCAAUUAGUCCAUGAAAUCGAACAAUUUAGGUUUGUACGAAGUUCGUUCUGAAAUGGCGUGGUUGGUGUAUUGCAUAGUUCUAGAGAUUGGAUUUCACUAAAAACCCACCAAAUGACUCCUCCGACUAAAUUAUGUUGUUCCCCAAGUUUUGGACUCAAUCCGAUAUCGAUUCGUCCAUGAAAGUAAACAAUUAAGGUUCGUAUGAAGUUCGUUCUGAAAUGGAGUGGUUGGUGUAUUGUAUAGUUUUAGCCGUUGGAUUUCACUGAAAACUCACCAAAUGACUCCUCCCACCAAAUUAUGAUGUUCCCCAAGUUUUAGACUCAUUCCGAUAUCGAUUGGUCCUUGAAAUUAGACAAUUCAGAUUCGUACGAAGUUCGUUUUGAAAUGGAGUGGUUGCUGUAUUGCAUAGUUCUAGAGAUUGGAUUUCACUCAAAACCCACCAAGUGAUUCCUCCCACAACAUUACGAGGUUCCCCAAGUUUCGUACUCAAUCCGACAACGAUUUGUAAAUGAAAUUGGACAGUUAUGGUUCAUUCUGAUUUCAUUGUUUUAGUCAUUGGAUUACGCUCAAAACCCACCGAAUGACUCCUCCCACAAUAUUAUGAGGUUCCCCAAGUUUUGGACUCAAUCUGAUAUCGUUUGGUCCAUGAAAUCGGACAAUUCAAGUUCCUACGAAGAUCGUUCUGAAAUGGAUUGGCAAUUGUAUUUCACUCAAAACUUACCAAAUGAGUCCUCCCACAACAUUAUGAUGUUCCUCAAGUUUUGGACUCAAUUCGAUAUCGUUCGUACGAAGUUCGUUCUUAAAUGGUGUGGUUGGUGUAUUGCAUAGUUCUAGAGAUUGGAUUUCACUCAAAACCCCACAAGUGACUCCUCCCACUAUAUUAUGAUAUUCCCCGAGUUUUGGACUCAAUCCCAUAUCGAUUAGUCCACGAAAUUGGACAAUUCAGGUUCGUAGGAAGUUCGUUCUGAAAUGGAGUGGUUGGUGUAUUGCAUAGUUCUGGGAAUUAGAUUUCACUUAAAACGCACCAAAUAACUCCUUCCACUAUAUUAUGUUGUUUCCCAAGUUUUGGCCUCUAUCCGGUAUCGAUUGGUCCAGGAAAUUGGACAAUUCAGAUUCAUACGAUGUUCGUUAUGAAAUGGGGUGGCUGGUGUAUUGCAUAGUUUUAGCGAGUGGAUUUCACUCAAAACUCAACCAAAUGACUCCUCCCACCAUAUUAUGAUGUUCUCCAAAGUUUUGGACUCAAGCCAAUAUCGAUUGAUAAAUGAAAUUGGACAAUUCAGGUUCGUAAGAAGUUCGUUUUGAAAUGAAGUGGUUGGUGUAUUGCAUUGUUUUAGCCACUGGAUAUCCCUCAAAACCCACCACAUGACUCCUCCCACAAUAUUGUAAUGUUCCCCAAGUUUUAGACUCAAUCCGAUAUCGUUUGGUCUAUGAAAUUGGACAAUUCAGGUUCGUACGAAGUUCGUUAUGAAAUGUAGUGGUUGGUGUGUUGUAUAGUUUUGGAGAUUGGAUUUUUUCUCAAAACCCACCAAAUGACUCCUCCCAUAAUAUUUUGAUCUUUCUCAAGUAUUGGACUCAAUCCGAUAUCGAUUGGUCCAUGAAAUUGGACAAUUCAAGUUUGUACGAAGUUCGUUUUGAAAUGGAGUGGUUGGUGUAUUGCAUAGUUUUAGCCAUUGGAUUUCACUCAAAACUUAACCAAUGACUCCUCCCACAAUAUUAUGUUGUUCCCCAAGUUUUGGACUCAAUCCGAUAUCGAUUGGUCCAUGAAAUCGGACAAUUCACGUUCGUACGAACUUCGUUCUGAAAUGGAGUGGUUGAUGUAUUGUAUAGUUUUAGCCAGUUGAUUUAACUCAAAGGUCACCAAAUGACUCCUCCCACCAUAUUAUGAUGUUCCCCAAGUUUGGAUACAAUCCGAUAUCGAUUGGUUAUUGUUUUCCUUCCAAGUGCCAAUAUAUGGUUAUUAUAGUGAUACAAGUAAGGAUGUCGAACCACAGGGACCGAUUGGACCUCCAUAAAUUAGUAGGUUUGAAAGAACCCUGACUAAAAAUGAAAGUGACAAUUUGGAAGUAGUUUUUGUGUUGUAAAUGAAAAAUAACUUAAAAUGCAAGAAGAAUGUAGUAUUGAAUGAUAUAUUGAUGUAGAAAGAAUAGGGAAGAGACCAGGGAUUUCGAAUUCACCAUUGCAAAACUAAUUCCAUGUUUAUAAAAUUAAACCGUACUCAACUACCAACCUGUUUCCAGAGUUCGUUUUAUAUAUGUAUGAUCAGCCAUAUGAUGCGUGGUUUUGAUCAAAUUCUCCUAAUCUGCAACCUAGUUGGGAUGUUCAACUUUGGUUCCAAGUUAAGAGUCAUUAGCAUGCAAGAAAACGUUAAAGAACCAAAGAAAAUACACAGCAUGAUGUUUGCAUAGCAUUCUCUUCAUUCAUUCACAUGUCUACCAAGAUUAAGCAUGAUGUUUACUAUAACCUUGUCUAGAUAAUCUGUAGGGGACUCUGAUGGUGAUCAAACAUUAAAAUUGACAAACAAAUUCAACAAUAGAUUCAGUGAAUGAAACAAGAAACAGAUUGAUGAACUGAAUACUUUAACUUAGAAACAUGGAUCAAUGUUGCAAGGCUACAUCGAAAUCCCUAGCUAUGAAUUUAGUUACACAUCAUGUUCACAGAGAUUAAAACAAAAAUAAACAACAUGAGUGAAAAUGAAUUCAAGAGAGGAAACCCUUAAACCAAUUCUGAUGUUGAACUUCUCCAAGAACCACCUCUUGCGCUCAGUCCUAAUGGUGGAAAUAUAUGGACGGCUAGGGUAUUAGUGUGCAUGAAAGGAGAGAAUAACCAAGAAGUGAGUGCUAGGGUUGUGAAAUUCGUCCAAAAUAAAUGGGGGUUUUAAAAGUGGCUAAAAGAGGUUGCAAGAUAUUCUAAAGAUAUCCUAACAAAUCAGCCUUAAUUGUGCCCGUUUUUGCCUUAUUUGGCACCUCUAAAUCUGGCUAGAAAUCCCCAUUCCUUUCCCAUUAUGCUCUUAGUCUUCAACCAAGCCAGGUUCGCCUUGGAUUCUUUAUUUGGACUUCAAAACAUGUCACGAAACUUGUUUCCAUGUUUGAAUAAGGGUCAGCUCCAAAAAUGCCAUGUUUUUAUUUCUUUUGCCUUCAACUUGAUCCUAAAGUAGAUGCAACUGCAUACUAACACAAAAUAGGGUAAAACACAACAAGUUUAACUCAAAAACACCACAAAUAGACUAGAAAUGGAUGAUAUAUAUGUAUAAAUAUAUGAGUUAUCAUUGGCCCAUGAAAUUGGACAAUUCACGUUAAUACGAAGUUCGUUCUGAAAUGUAGUGGUUGGUGUGUUGUUCUAGAGAUUGGAUUUCUCUCAAAACCCACAAAAUGACUCCUCCCACAAUAUUAAGAUGUUCCCCAGGUUUUGGGCUCAAUCCAAUAUCGAUUGGAUCAAGAAAUCGGACAAUUCAUGUUCGUAUGAAGUUCGUUCUAAAAUGGAUUGGUUGGUGUAUUGCAUAGUUUUGGCAUUUGAAUUUCACUCAAAACACAACAAAUAACUCCUCCCACAACAUUAUGAGGUUCCCCAAGUUUUGGACUUAGUUCGAUAUCGAUUGAUCCAUGAAAUCGGACAAUUCUAGUUCGUACGAAGUUCAUUCUAAAAUGGAGUGGUGGGUGUAUUGCCUAGUUCUCGAGAUUGGAUUUCACUCAAAACCCUCCUAAUGACUCCUCCCACAAUAUUGUGAUGUUCCCCAAGUAUUAGACUCAAUCCGAUAUCGAUUGGUCCAUGAAAUUGGACAAUUCAGGUUCGUACGAAGUUCGUUCUCAAAUGGAGUGCUUGGUGCAUUGUAUAGUUGUAAAGACUGGAUUUCACUCAAAACCCACCAAAUGAGUCCUCCCACUAUAUUAUGAUGUUCCACAAGUUUUGGACUCAAUGCGAUACCGAUUGGUCCAUGAAAUCAGACAAUUUAGGUUCGUACGAAGUUCGUUCUGAAAUGGAGUGGUUGGUGUACUACAUAGUUGCAGAGAUUGGAUUUCACCCAAAACCCAUCAAAUGACUCCUCCCACAACAUUAUGACGUUCCCCAAGUUUCGUACUCAAUCCGAUAUCGAUUGAUAAAUGAAAUUGGACAAUUCAGGUUCUUAUGAUGUUCGUUCUGAAAUGGAGUGGUGGGUGUAUUCCAUUGUUUUAGCCACUGGAUUUCCCUAAAAACCCACCAUAUGACUCCUCCCACAAUAUUGUGAUGUUCCCCAAGUUUUGGACUCAAUCCGAUAUCGUUUGGUCCACGAAAUUGGACAAUUCAGGUUCGUACGAAGUUCAUUUUGAAAUGUAGUGGUUGGUGUGUUGUAUAGUUCUGGAGAUUGGAUUUCUCUCAAAACCCACCAAAUGGCUCCUUCCACAAGAUUAUGACGUUUCUCAAGUAUUGGACUCAAUCCGAUAUCGAUUGGUCCUUGAAAUUAGACAAUUCAAGUUCGUACGAAGUUCGUUUUGAAAUGGAGUGGUUGGUGUAUUGAACAGUUUUAGCCACUGGAUUUCAUUCAAAACUCACCAAAUGACUCCUCCCACCAUAUUAUGAUCUUCCCCAAGUUUGGACUGAAUUUGAUAUCGAUUGGUCCUUGAAAUUGGACAAUUCACGUUUGUACGAAGUUCGUUCUGAAAUGUAGUGGUUGGUGUGUUGUAUAGUUCUAGAGAUUGGAUUUCUCUCAAAACCCACCAAAUGACUCCUCCCACAAUAUUAUGAUGUUCCCCACAUUUUGGGCUCAAUCCAAUAUCGAUUGGUCUAAGAAAUCGGACAAUUCAAGCUCCUACGAAGUUCGUUCUAAAAUGGAUUGGUUGGUGUAUUGUAUAGUUUUGGCAUUUGGAUUUCACUAAAAACUCAACAAAUGACUCCUCCCACAACAUUAUGAGGUUCCCCAAGUUUUGGACUUAGUCCGAUAUCAAUUGAUCCGUGAAAUCGGACAAUUCUUGUUCGUACGAAGUUCAUUCUGAAAUGCAGUGGUGGGUGUAUUACAUAGUUCUAGAGAUUGGAUUUCACUCAAAACCCUCUGAUGACUCCUCCCACAAUAUUGUGAUGUUCCCCAAGUUUUGGACUCAAUCCGAUAUCGAUUGGUCCAUGAAAUUGGACAAUUCAGGUUCUUACGAAGUUCGUUCUGAAAUGGAGUGCUUGGUGCGCUAUAUAGUUGUAGAGACUGAAUCUCACUCAAAACCCACCAAAUGAGUCCUCCCACUAUAUUAUGAUGUUCCCCAAGUUUUGGACUCAAUCCGAUAUCGAUUGGCCCCUGAAAUUGGACAAUUCAGGUUCGUACGAAGUUCGUUAUGAAAUGGAGUGCUUGGUGCAUUGUAUAGUUGUAGAGACUGGAUUUCACUCAAACCCACCAAAUUAGUCCUCCCACUAUAUUAUGAUGUUCCCCAAGUUUUGGACUCAAUGCAAUAUUGAUUGGUCCAUGAAAUCAGAUAAUUCAGGUUUGUACGAAGUUCGCUAUGAAAUGGAGUGGUUGGUGUGCUGUAUAGUUGUAGAGAUUGGAUUUCACUCAAAACCCAUCAAAUGACUCCUUCCACAACAUUAUGAUGUUCCCCAAGUUUCGUACUCAAUCCGAUGUCGAUUGAUAAAUGAAAUUGAACAAUUCAGGGUACUUAAGAAGUUCGUUCUAAAAUGGAUUGGUGGGUGUAUUGUAUUGUUUUAGCCAUUGAAUUUCCUUCAAAACCCACCACAUGACUCAUCCCACAAUAUUGUGAUGUUCCGCACGUUUUGAACUCAAUUCGAUAUCGUUUGGUCCACGAAAUUGGACAUUCAGGUUCGUACGAAGCUCGUUCUAAAAUGUAGUGGUUGGUGUGUUGUAUAGUUCUGGAGAUUGGAUUUUUCUCAAAACCCAGCAAAUGGCUCCUCCCACAAUAUUAUGAUGUUUCCCAAGUAUUGGACUCAAUCUGAUAUCGAUUGGUCCCUGAAAUUGGAUAAUUCAAGUUCGUACGAAGUUCGUUUUGAAAUGGAGUGGUUGGUGUAUUGAAUAGUUUUAGCCACUGGAUUUCACUCAAAACUCCCCAAAUGACUCCUCCCACCAUAUUAUGAUCUUCCCCAAGUUUGGACUCAAUCUGAUAACGAUUGGUCCUAGAAAUUAGACAAUUCACGAUCGUACGAAGUUCGUUCGAAAAUGUAGUGGUUGGUGUGUUGUAUAGUUCUAGAGAUUGGAUUUCUCUCAAAACCCACCAAAUGACUCCUCCCAAAAUAUUAUGAUCUUCCCCAGGUUUUGGGCUCAAUCGAAUAUCGAUUGGUCCAAGAAAUCGAACAAUUCAAGUUUGUACGAAGUUCGUUCUAAAAUGGAUUGGUUGUUGUAUUGCAUAGUUUGGGCAUUUGGAUUUCACUCAAAACUCAACAAAUGACUCCUCCCACAACAUUAUGAGGUUCCCUAGGUUUUGGACUUAGUCCGAUAUCGAUUGAUCCGUGAAAUCGGACAAUUCAUGUUUGUAGGAGGUUCUUUCUGAAAUAGAGUGGUGGUUGCAUUGUAUAGUUGUAGAGACUGGAUUUCACUCAAAACCCACCAAAUUAGUCCUCCCACUAUAUUAUGAUGUUCUCCAAGUUUUGGACUCAAUGCAAUAUCGAUUGGUCUAUGAAGUUCGUGAUGAAAUGGAGUGGUUGGUGUACGGUAUAGUUGUAGAGAUUGGAUUUCACUCAGAACCCAUCAAAUGACUCCUCCCACAACAUUAUGAUUUCCCCCAAGUUUCGUACUCAAUCCGAUAUCAAUUGAUAAAUGAAAUUGGACAAUUCAGGUACUUAAGAAGUUCGUUCUGAAAUGUAGUGGUUGGUGCGUUGCAUAGUUCUAGAGAUUGGAUUUCACUCAAAACCCACCAAAGGGCUCCGCCCAUAACAUUAUGAGGUUCCCCAAGUGUUGGACUUAGUCCGAUAUCGAUUGAUCCAUGAAAUCGGACAAUUCUAGUUCGUACGAAGUUCAUUUUGAAAUGGAGUGGUGGGUGUAUUGCAUAGUUCUAGAGAUUGGAUUUCACUCAAAACCCUCCUAAUGACUCCUCCCACAAUAUUGUGAUGUUCCCCAAGUUUUGGACUCAAUCCGAUAUCGAUUGGUCCAUGAAAUUGGACAAUUCAGGUUCGUACGAAGUUCGUUCUGAAAUGGAGUGCUUGGUGCACUGUAUAGUUGUAGAGACUGGAUUUCACUCAAAACCCAGCAAAUGAGUCCUCCCACUGUGUUAUGAUGUUCCCCGAGUUUUGGACUCAAUGCGAUAUCGAUUCGUCCAUGAAAUCAAACAAUUCAGGUUUGUACGAAGUUCAUUAUGAAAUGGAGUGGUUGGUGUGCUGCAUAGUUGUAGAGAUUGGAUUUUACUCAAAACCCAUCAAAUGACUCCUCCCACAAUAUUACGAUGUUCCCCAAGUUUCGUACUCAAUCCUAUAUCGAUUGAUAAAUGAAAUUGGACAAUUCAUGUACUUAAGAAGUUCGUUCUGAAAGGAAGUGGUUGCGGUGUUGCAUAGUUCUAGAGAUUGGAUUUCACUCAAAACCCACCAAAUAGCUCCUCCCACAACAUUAUAAGGUUCCCCAAGUUUUGGACUUAGUCCGAUAUCGAUUGAUCCAUGAAAUCGGACAAUUCUAGUUCGUACGAAGUUCAUUCUGAAAUGGAGUGGUGGGUGUAUUGCAUAGUUCUGGAGAUUGGAUUUCACUCAAAACCCACCAAAUGACUCCUCCCCCCAUAUUAUGAUGUUCCCCAAGUUUUCGACCGAAUCCGAUAUCAAUUGGCCCAUGAAAUUGGACAAUUCAGGUUCGUACGAAGUUCCUUAUGAAAUGGAGUGGGUGGCGUAUUGCAUAGUUUUACCCAUUGGAUUUCAUUCAAAACGCACCAAAUGACUCCUCCCAUCAUAUUAUGAUGUUUCCCAAGUUUUGGACUGAAUCCGAUAUCGAUUGGUCCAUGAAAUUGGACAAUUCAGGUUCGUACAAAGUUCGUUCUUAAAUGGAGUGGUUUGUGUAUUUCAAAGUUUUAGCCAUUGGCUUUCACUCAAAAGCGACCGAAUGACUCUUCCCACCAUAUUAUGAUGUUCCCCAAGUUUUGGACUCAAUCCGAUAUCGAUUGAUCCAAGAAAGUGGACAAUUCAUGUUCGUACGAAGUUCGUUAUGAGAUGGAGUGGUUGGUGUAUUGUAUCGUUUUAGCCACUGGAUUUCACUCAAAAUUCACAAAAUGACCCCUCCGAAGAUAUUAUGAUGUUCCCCAAGUUUUGGACUCUAUCCGAUAUCGAUUGGUCCAUGAAAUUGGACAAUUCAGGUUCGGACAAAGUUCGUUACGGAAUAGAGUGGUUGGUGUAUUGCGUAGUUUUAGCCAUUGAAUUUCAUUCAAAAGGCACCAAAUGACUCCACCCACCAUAUUAUGAUGUUCCCCAAGUUUGGGACUCAAUCCGAUAUUGAUUGGUCAAUGCAACUGGGCAAUUCAGGUUCGUACAAAGUUCGUUAUGAAAUGGAGUGGUUGGUGUAUUGCAUAGUUGUAGAGAUUGGAUUUCGCUAAAAACCGACGAAGUGACUCCUUCCACCGUAUUAUGAUGAUCCCCAAGUUUUCGGCUCAAUCCGAUAUCGAUUAGUUCAUGAAAUUGGACAAUAUUAGGUUCGUACGAAGUUCGUUAUGAAAAGGAGUGGAUGGUGUAUUGCAUGGUUCUAGAGAUUGGAUUUCACUCAAAACCCACCAAAUGACUCCUCCCACCAUAUUAUGAUGUUCCCCAAGUUGUGGGCUCAAUCCGAUAUUGAUUGAUCCAUGAAAUUGGACAAUUCUGGUUCGUACGAAGUUCGUUAUGAAAUGGAGUGGUUGGUGUAUUGCAUAGUUGUAGAGAUUGGAUUUCACUCAAAACCCACCAAAUGACUCCUCCCACCAUAUUAUGAUGUUCCCCAGGUUUUGGACACAAUCCCAUAUCGAUUGGUCCAUGAAAUUGGAAAAUUCAGGUUUGUACGAAAUUCAUUCUAAAAUGGGGUGGUUUGUGUAUUGAUGUUUUAGCCAUUGGAUUUCACUCUCAAGUCACCAAAUGACACCUCCCACCAUAUUAUGAUGUUCCCCAAGUUUUGGACUCAAUCCGAUAUCAAUUGGUCCAUGAAAUUCGACAAUUCAGGUUCGGGCGAAGUUCGUUACAGAAUGGAGUGGUUGGUGUAUUGCGUAGUUUUAGCCAUUGAAUUUCAUUCAAAAGUCACCAAAUGACUCCUCCAACCAUAUUAUGAUGUUCUCCAAGUUUUGGAAUUAAUCUGAUAUCGAUUGGUCCCUGAAAUUGGACAAUCCAGGUUCAUACGAAGUUCGUUCUGAAAUGGAGUUGUUUGUGUAUUGCAUAGUUUUAUCCAUCGGAUUUCACUCAAAAGUCACCAAAUGACUCCACACACCAUAUUAUGAUGUUCCCCAAGUUUGGGACUCAAUCCGAUAUCGAUUGGUCAAAGAAAUUGGGCAAUUCAGGUUCUUACUAAGUUCGUUAUGAAAUGGUGUGGUUGGUGUAUUGCAUAGUUGUAGAUAUUGGAUUCCGCUAAAAACCGACGAAAUGACUCCUCCCACCGUAUUAUGAUGAUCCCCAAGUUUUGGACUCAAUCCAAUAUCGAUUGGUCCAUGAAAUUGGAAAAUAUUAGGUUCGUACGAAGUUCGUUAUGAAAAGGAGUGGUUGGUGUAUUGCAUGGUUCUAGAGAUUGGAUUUCACUCAAAACCCACCAAAUGACUCCUCCCACCAUAUUAUGAUGUUCCCCAAGUUGUGGACUCAAUCCGAUACUGAUUGAUCCAUGAAAUUGGAUAAUUCUGGUUCGUACGAAGUUCGUUAUGAAAUGGAGUGGUUGGUGUAUUGCAUAGUUGUAGAGAUUGGAUUUCACUCAAAACCCACNNNNNNNNNNNNNNNNNNNNNNNNNNNNNNNNNNNNNNNNNNNNNNNNNNNNNNNNNNNNNNNNNNNNNNNNNNNNNNNNNNNNNNNNNNNNNNNNNNNNNNNNNNNNNNNNNNNNNNNNNNGUGUAUUGCAUAGUUCUAUCCAUCGGAUUUCACUCAAAAGUCACCAAAUGACUCCACACACCAUAUUAUGAUGUUCCCCAAGUUUGGGACUCAAUCCGAUAUCGAUUGGUCAAAGAAAUUGGGCAAUUCAGGUUCUUACUAAGUUCGUUAUGAAAUGGUGUGGUUGGUGUAUUGCAUAGUUGUAGAUAUUGGAUUCCGCUAAAAACCGACCGAAAUGACUCCUCCCACCGUAUUAUGAUGAUCCCCAAGUUUUGGACUCAAUCCAAUAUCGAUUGGUCCAUGAAAUUGGAAAAUAUUAGGUUCGUACGAAGUUCGUUAUGAAAAGGAGUGGUUGGUGUAUUGCAUGGUUCUAGAGAUUGGAUUUCACUCAAAACCCAC
rnacentral:lncRNA from 1 species